rnacentral:rRNA from 1 species
CUCGGUUGAUCCUGCCGGACCCGACUGCUAUCAGAGUGGGACUAAGCCAUGCGAGUCAACGUAGCAAUACGUGGCAUACGGCUCAGUAACACGUAGUCAACAUGCCCAGGGGACGAGGAUAACCUCGGGAAACUGAGGAUAAACCUCGAUAGGCCAUGAUUUCUGGAAUGAUUCUUGGCUCAAACCUAUAUGGCCCCUGGAUUGGACUGCGGCCGAUCAGGCUGUUGGUGAGGUAAUGGCCCACCAAACCUAUUACCGGUACGGGCUCUGAGAGGAGGAGCCCGGAGAUGGGCACUGAGACAAGGGCCCAGGCCCUAUGGGGCGCAGCAGGCGCGAAACCUCUGCAAUAGGCGAAAGCUUGACAGGGUUACUCUGAGUGAUUUCCGCUAAGGGAAUCUUUUGGCACCUCUAAAAAUGGUGCAGAAUAAGGGGUGGGCAAGUCUGGUGUCAGCCGCCGCGGUAAUACCAGCACCCCGAGUGGUCGGGACGAUUAUUGGGCCUAAAGCAUCCGUAGCCGGUCCUGCAAGUCUUCCGUUAAAUCCAGCUGCUCAACAGAUGGGCUGCGGGAGAUACUACAGGGCUAGGAGGCGGGAGAGGCAAGCGGUACUCAGUGGGUAGGGGUAAAAUCCGCUGAUCCAUAGAAGACCACCAGUGGCGAAGGCGGCUUGCCAGAACGCGCUCGACGGUGAGGGAUGAAAGCUGGGGGAGCAAACCGGAUUAGAUACCCGGGUAGUCCCAGCUGUAAACGAUGCAGACUCGGUGAUGGGUUGGCCUCGCGCCUGCCCAGUGCCGCAGGGAAGCCGUUAAGUCUGCCGCCUGGGGAGUACGGCCGCAAGACUGAAACUUAAAGGAAUUGGCGGGGGAGCA